UACGUAGGGGGCAAGCGUUGUCCGGAUUUAUUGGGCGUAAAGAGCGUGUAGGCGGCUGGGUAGGUCCGCUGUGAAAACUCGAGGCUUAACCUCGAGACGUCGGUGGAAACCAUCCAGCUAGAGUCCGGAAGAGGAGGGUGGAAUUCCUGGUGUAGCGGUGAAAUGCGCAGAUAUCAGGAAGAACACCCGUGGCGAAAGCGGCUCUCUGGGACGGUACUGACGCUGAGACGCGAAAGCGUGGGGAGCGAACAGG
rnacentral:rRNA from 1 species